UACAGAGGGUGCAAGCGUUAAUCGGAAUGACUGGGCGUAAAGGGCGCGUAGGUGGGAUGGCAAGUUAGGUGUGAAACCUUCAGGCUUAACCUGAAGCGGUCAUUUAAGACUGCCAAUCUAGAGUACAAGAGAGGGAAGUGGAAUUUCCGGUGUAGCGGUGAAAUGCGUAGAUAUCGGAAGGAACAUCAGUGGCGAAGGCGACUUUCUGGCUUGAUACUGACACUGAGGCGCGAAAGCGUGGUUAGCGAACAGG
rnacentral:misc_RNA from 1 species